rnacentral:rRNA from 1 species
GACGAACGCUGGCGGCGUGCUUAACACAUGCAAGUCGAACGGUGAACCCGCUUCGGUGGGGGAUCAGUGGCGAACGGGUGAGUAACACGUGGGCAACCUGCCCCCGGCUCUGGGAUAGCUCCAAGAAAUUGGGGCUAAUACCGGAUAUGACCGCUGGCCGCAUGGUCUGGUGGUGGAAAGAUUUAUCGGCUGGGGAUGGGCCCGCGGGCCUAUCAGCUUGUUGGGGGGGUAGUGGCCUAACAAGGCGACGCCGGGUAGCCGGCCUGAGGGGGUGACCGGCCACACUGGGACUGGGACACGGCCCAGACUCCUACGGGAGGCAGCAGUGGGGAAUAUUGCGCAAUGGGGGGAAGCCUGACGCAGCGACGCCGCGUGGGGGAUGACGGCCUUCGGGUUGUAAACCUCUUUCAGCAGGGACGAAGCCGCGAGGUGACGGUACCUGCAGAAGAAGCACCGGCCAACUACGUGCCAGCCGCCGCCGUAACAC